GCUGGACACAAUGGUGCCUGCUUGUAGUUCCAGCUACUGGGAGACUGAGGCAGGAGGAUUGCUUGAGUCCAGGAGUUCUGGGCUGGAGUGUACUAUGCAGAUCAGGUGUCUGCACUAAGUUUGGCAGCAAUAUGGUGGCCUUCUGGGAGGGGAGUAUACCAGGUUGCCUAAGGAGCGGUAAAUUAGUCCAGUUUGGAAAUGAUGCAGGUCAAAACUCUACAUGCCAAUCAGCAGUGGCAUCACAACUUUGAAUAGCCACAGUACCCCAGCCUGGGCAACAUAGUGAUACCCUGUCUCU
rnacentral:SRP_RNA from 1 species